AGAUUUAGAAUUGGAUAAGCUUGGUGGGGAUAUGUAUGACGAUGAGUUUAUCAAUUUAGAUUUUGCAUGUAAACAUGGAUUUGUGGAGAAAAUGCCCAAUAUUUUGUUGGAGGGAUUCGACGUUUCUUGUUUCUGUGCAGGAGCUGACAAAAAUAUCUUCAUAUUUGAAGGGAUAUUGGACGUCAACUUCAGACCGAGUGACUAUGAGCAAUCGAAGGAAGAGGAAGAAAAGGAAGAGGCAUUGCAUUGGCUUAAAAUUGAUUCCACGAGAG
rnacentral:lncRNA from 1 species